AGCGAACGCUGGCGGCAGGCUUAACACAUGCAAGUCGAACGCCCCGCAAGGGGAGUGGCAGACGGGUGAGUAACACGUGGGAACGUACCCUUUGGUUCGGAAUAACUUGGGGAAACUCAAGCUAAUACCGGAUAAGCCCUUAUGGGGAAAGGUUUACUGCCGAAGGAUCGGCCCGCGUCUGAUUAGCUGGUUGGUGAGGUAAUGGCUCACCAAGGCGACGAUCAGUAGCUGGUCUGAGAGGAUGAUCAGCCACACUGGGACUGAGACACGGCCCAGUCUCCUGCGGGAGGCAGCAGUGGGGAAUAUUGGACAAUGGGGGCAACCCUGAUCCAGCCAUGCCGCGUGAGUGAUGAAGGCCUUAGGGUUGUAAAGCUCUUUUACCCGGGGCGAUAAUGACUGUACCGGGAGAAUAAGCCCCGGCUAACUUCGUGCCAGCCGCCGCCGUAACAC
rnacentral:rRNA from 1 species